rnacentral:lncRNA from 1 species
CCGGGGGCCCUACAAUUAAUACCGGGCGCCUGCCCGCUGGCCGGGACUCGCGCGCCGGCUCUCGGGGACGGAGGCGCCCGGUCCGCCCUGACGAGCUCGCCACUGGCUCUGCUCCGGCGGCGACGGCGACAGUGGCCCUGGCCGACUUUCCCGGGGCCCACACCUCCUCGAGAGCCAGCUUGGGCAGGGGACGGUGCCGCACCACCAAGGCCCCGCGCUAGUGUGCACCCCCGGCCCGGGCCCGGCAGGUGGGCGAGGAGGGCGGGCGCAGUCGGGCUCUGCAGGAGCGCGCGGAGAGUUUCGCUCAGGUCCUCAGGGGACAGCCUGAGAGGCCAACCUGCUGGAAGAGUUCACUCGGACGACAGAGCGAGUUGGACAGCCACACCCCCGGCCGGGAGAGCGAUAGGGCGGCCCUGGCCUCCAGCCCCACUGGGAUCCUAAAGCCCCGCAUCUCCGGGGCUGCAGCGGGGGCUAGCCCAAGCAUCUUCCCAGCCCUGGGACCCGGGGGGCGUGACUGCCACCACCCUGAGAGCUACUGAGACACAGGACACAAACUUAGUUUCCAAACAAAGUAAAAUCUGCCUUUCCGGUGUUUUAAGACAGGACGUGCUUAUGCCGAUUCAUCGCGGUUUCCUUGGGCCACCUCCGAGGACGCGGCUGGACCCGCUAGCCGUGGAGGGGGUCGGCUCCGGGCGCGAGUUCGUGUUCUGGGGCGUGGGGACAGCUCUGGUGCUUCCCCCGAGAGUCGUCCCACCGUGGUCCCCGCGCACUGGCCCCUGUUUUGGGAAGGGGUGCCCGCGUUGAGAGAGGCAGGGGUGCUUGUGCUUGGCCCCCCUCUGUGUCCCCAC